rnacentral:rRNA from 1 species
UAUGGCGACCGGCGCACGGGUGAGUAACACGUAUGCAACCUGCCCUCCGCAGGGGGAUAACCCGGAGAAAUCCGGACUAAUACCGCGUGGUACACCAGUGGGGCAUCCCACGGGUGUUAAAAGGAAGCGAUUCCGGCGGAGGAUGGGCAUGCGGCGCAUUAGCUUGUUGGCGGGGUAACGGCCCACCAAGGCGACGAUGCGUAGGGGUUCUGAGAGGAAGGUCCCCCACACUGGUACUGAGACACGGACCAGACUCCUACGGGAGGCAGCAG